GCGGAAGGAUCAUUAUUGAAAUCUGUAGUUGAGCUGGCUUCUAACGAGGCAUGUGCUUGCUACUAACCUUCAUCCACCUGUGCACAUUUUGUAGGAAAGACAGGAUUCUUUUCCAAGUAAAGAGGAACUUAUGGCUCACGCCGUUAUUCUUUUGAAACGAAAGGUCUUCUUCUAUCCUAUGUUUUUACACACACAAAUUGAAUGUUUAGAAUGUCUACUUUCGAAAGAGCGUAAAAACUCUUUUAAAAAACAUAAUACAACUUUCAGCAACGGAUCUCUUGGCUCUCGCAUCGAUGAAGAACGCASCGAAAUGCGAUAAGUAAUGUGAAUUGCAGAAUUCAGUGAAUCAUCGAAUCUUUGAACGCACCUUGCGCCUCUUGGUAUUCCGAGAGGCAUGCCUGUUUGAGUGUCAUUAAAUUCUCAACUUCUAUAGUUUUAUUACUAUUGAAGCUUGGAUGUGGAGGUUUUUUGCUGGCUUUUAUUAGUUGGCUCCUCUUAAAUGUAUUAGUGGAGACUGUUUGUGGUCCACAAUUAGUGUGAUAAUUAUCUACGCUACUUAUGGUUCUGCACACUUUGUAGUGUUUCGAUUGGGAAGUUGCAUAAAUUUUUAUGCUCUUUCUGCUUCAAAUGAACCUACUUAUGAGUGAAGUCGUUCUGCUUCUAACCGUCUUCUUUGCAAGACAAUUUCUUGACUUUWUGACCUCAAA
rnacentral:rRNA from 1 species